AUAUCGUUUCAUUCUCACUUUCUUCAUUUAAACACACGAACAAACUUGCAAGAACUUCGUCGCGUCAGAAAUCGCCUCUGGCGGCGGUGGAGGUUCAAAUCCUCCACAACAUACAUCAAAAUACUCGUCGUAAUCCCCUCUCUCACAAAUCAACCUCGCUUCUUUCUAACUCUCUGCCAUAAACCUAAAUUGAAGGCUCUGCCAGUAUCUCUGUUACAAUCAGUUAAAUUAACUUCUAUGUUGCAGUUAGCAAAUCAAACAUACGAAAUAAGCACAAAGCUGGAGCAUUAACCAGGACCAAAUUAAAGUUAUGUAGAGGGCUAGUUGUAGAACUGUCAUGAAACUGGAUGUUUGGAUUAUGAAAUGCUUGAUGUCUUUAUAAAAGCAGUUAGUGGUCUUGUGGAUUGGAAUAUUGAUGUUAAUGCUUGAAAAUGGGCUGUUAUGCAAAAUUGGCUUAACAUUAACCUUGAGUGUUUGGAUUGUGAACCACACAUGAUUAAGUCAUACGCUCAUGCUUUGAAUUGGGUGAGAUGCACACGAAAAUGUUGCUUUGUUUGAUGUAAGGUUGCUAGUCUUAUGAGGUAAAACAUGGAUCAUGGAGAGUUUGGCAUAAAGGCAUCAUCAUCAUGGCAUGAAGAAAUAUAUCAUGGAUUACUUGGCCAUGAAGGAAACUUGGAUAUGAAGUCAUUUGAGAAGAUGGAAGAGUGAAGAUCAAAGAGAAGUUUAGGGUUAGGAUUAGUGGUUAGGUUAGUUGACUUUGGUCAACUAAUUGACCAAAAAGUCAACGGUUGACUAAAGUCAAUUAUAGGUCAAAGUUGUAUAUUUUUUGUGUAAUCUUGAUUUUGGACCUUUUGUAAUGGAAUAUGUGAAUGUUUUGGGAAUACAAUGGAUCCUUUUGUAAUGCAA